CAGUUGCUCUCCUUGCCCAGCCUUGGCGAUGCUAAGCCAUCAGAGCUAAUGGAGCACAUGGUGUCUCUCCUGGGAAAUCACCAUUCAUGUUUUAUUUUUAAAGAACUCUUCAUGCAGCAAAUUCCUGAUUAAGUUCGCAUAACCCUCACUAAUGCACCCAUGAUGGACUAUAGGGACUAUAUACAACACAGACUGGACUCUCCUGGCCCUUUGAGCAGAGCCUCUCCAGCAACAGCUGACCACCCUGAAGCCUGGCAGUCAUGAUGAAGGGUCUUGACCUGAAGCGUUGAGUGUGGAUUCAUUUCCAUAGAUGCUGCCUGACUGGCUGAGUUCCUCCAGAGGACAGAACGAAACAGUGCAUCCCAAAUAAAAAAAUAAAACAAGGGAUCCUUUGAAGUUCCUGACCUGGAGUUACAUGCUGACUUCGGUUCUUUGCGGGAAUGGGACCCGCUCUCGGGGUCUCACGAUCAGCCGCUAUUCGAUAUACCAAGGAAUCAGCCUAGAAGACCAGUGCGCCUUCAGGUUUCUGGGAUUUCGCGGCUCUGGAGGUAGACAGACUCGAGGUCAGUGCCUCCACAGGAAACUAGUGUGUCAUCUGAAUACACAGAAGAUCGAAAGCAGCUAGCUGGCUGCGUGCCUAGAGACCCUGUCACGGUCCGGUCCAUUGACUCUUCAUAUCAGUUAAUUUCCUUUUCCCCUUGUUCUAUGGUGCUCCUUGAUGAGGGCACCUGAUCCUCAUCCAAACCAGCAGCAGAAAGACUCCGGCUUAAAUCUACUCAGUGCUGGUCCCUCUCCUGAGCUGUGCAACGAUGCAUGUUCCUGGCUGCCGAGAAUAGUGGACUUUCUCCUGAGCCAGUGCGGCAAUGCACGUUCCAGGCCACUGAGAAUCGUGUACUCUAAGUUGCUUCGGUGCCUGGGAUUGCUUUGGGAACUCUGUCGUUUUCGUGUCCGGCUGAGGAUUGCUGACCGUUUGCCGCUACUCCGAGUCGGGAAUACUGUCUGCUCAUGUCCAGCUGGGGAUUGCUGGCUUUUUGCCGCUCCUCUGAGCCAAGAUACGAAUUGUCUGUCAUUGUUGGGUUUUGCUGUCUCGUGUCCAGUUGAAGAUUACUGACCAUUUGCCGCUACUCUGAGCUAAGAUACAAAUGGUCUGUCUUUGUUUGGGUUUGUCAUCCUGUGUCCAAGUUCGAGUCCCAGCUCCACAUCCAAGUUCGAGUCCUGGCUCCACAUCCAAGUUCGAGUCCCGGCUCCGCAUCCGAGUCCAAGUCCAAGUCCAGGUUCUGCGUUCGAGGCCAAGUCCAAGUCCAGGUGCCAUGUCCGAGUCCAAAUCCAAGUAUAGGCUCUGUGUCCGAGUCCAAAUCCAAGUCCAGGUUCCGUGUCUAAGUCCAAGUCCAGGCUCCGUGGCCAAGUCCAAGUCCAGGUUCCUGUGGUUUGUUGUCCAAUGUUUAUGUCUAUGUAAGCAUCUAAUCCUCACUCUCUGGCCUCCCUGGCAACUAUUAAUAAGCACACUUCUGUUAAUGCUACCCCCGUGUCUGUGUCCUGCACUUGAAUUCGCCCCCAACGCCCCAUUGUAACAGACCCAAGUUCAAUGGGCACAGAGCUUGGAAAAAGGGAUGCAACAGACCUUUAACAUUGUAAAUCAGUGAGUUGUUUUUUAUAUCUCCCCUCUGGCUAUGAAAUGGGGACAUCUCUUUUUUUCUUACUAGGGAGAGCGAGAGCCUGUGGUAUGUCGAAUUACCAGGUGAAUGAGUAGUCUUUGGGGUACUGCAAAUCUGUGUCUUUAUUGACGCUUUGCUGCACGCUUCAGUGCUGGGUGCGGGGGGGCCUGAUGCU